rnacentral:rRNA from 1 species
CUCAGGGAGGUAGUGACAAGAAAUAACAACACUGGAAAUUUUAUUUCUAGUGAUUGGAAUGAUGGGAAUUUAAACCCCUUUCAGAGUAACAAUUGGAGGGCAAGUCUGGUGCCAGCAGCCGCGGUAAUUCCAGCUCCAAUAGCGUAUAUUAAAGUUGUUGCAGUUAAAAAGCUCGUAGUUGGAUGUCUGCUGGAAGCAAUCAGUCCGCCCUAUUUGUAGGGUGUGCACUUGAUGAAUUCUGGCAUCUAUGUCCUAAUGUGAUAGAUACGGCGGUGUAUAUGGGUUAAUCCUAUAUACCCGUUUGUAUAUUAUAUUGGGAUAAUACCGUUACUUUGAGGAAAUUAGAGUGUUUGAAGCAGGCUAAUUGCCUUGAAUACUGCAGCAUGGAAUAACAAUAUAGGAUUUCGGUUCUAUUUUGUUGGUUUCUAGGACUGAAAUAAUGAUUAAUAGGGACAGUUGGGGGCAUUCGUAUUUAACUGUCAGAGGUGAAAUUCUUAGAUUUGUUAAAGACGAACUACUGCGAAAGCAUUUGCCAAAGAUGUUUUCAUUAAUCAAGAACGAAAGUUAGGGGCUCGAAGACGAUCAGAUACCGUCGUAGUCUUAACCAUAAACUAUGCCGACUAGAGAUAGGAAAAUGUCAUUUUUCUGACUU